rnacentral:rRNA from 1 species
AUAUUAAAGUUGUUGCAGUUAAAAAGCUCGUAGUUGAAUUUCGGGAUCAAAGAAUCGGUCAUGCCUUGGUAUGUACUGGUUUUAUUGGUUCUCACCUUCUAAAGAACCAUGAUGUCAUUCAUUUGAUGUUAUGGGGAAUUAGGACUGUUACCUUGAAAAAAUUAGAGUGUUUAAAGCAAGCUUACGCUUGAAUACAUUAGCAUGGAAUAAUGAAAUAGGACAUCAGAUUCUAUUUUGUUGGUUUCUAGGAUCGAUGUAAUGAUUAAUAGGGAUAGUUGGGGGCAUUAGUAUUCAAUUGUCAGAGGUGAAAUUCUUGGAUUUAUUGAAGACUAACUACUGCGAAAGCAUUUGCCAAGGAUGUUUUCAUUAAUCAAGAACGAAAGUUAGGGGAUCGAAGACGAUCAGAUACCGUCGUAGUCU